AUUGAACGCUGGCGGCAGGCCUAACACAUGCAAGUCGAACGAGUGGCGGACGGGUGAGUAAUGUCUGGGAAACUGCCUGAUGGAGGGGGAUAACUACUGGAAACGGUAGCUAAUACCGCAUACCAUCGGAUGUUCCCAGAUGGGGUUAGCUAGUAGGUGGGGUAACGGCUCACCUAGGCGACGAUCCCUAGCUGGUCUGAGAGGAUGACCGGGCAAAAUGGGAACGAGGCAAGGUCCAGACUCCUACGGGAGGCAGCAGUGGGGAAUUUUGCAAAAUGGGUGCAAGCCUGAAUGAGCCAUGCCGGGGGUAUGAAGAAGGCCUUCGGGUUGUAAAGUACUUUUAGCGGGGAGGAGGUAACCGGAAGAGAAGCACCGGCUAACUCCGUGCCAGCAGCCGCGGUAAUAC
rnacentral:rRNA from 1 species